GCGUGUAAUCAAGUGUUCACGUCUGCUGUCGGAGAAGUGUCGUCUGUAAAAUAUCCAACAGGUGCUAGACGUGAAGACUCCACGUGUGAAAUUUACAUCGUUGGAACUCCUGGGAAACAUAUUGAGAUGAUUUUCAAUGAAUUUGCAAUGUCAGUGGAUGGAAAUGAAUCAUGUUUGCACAUAAAAGAUAUAGAUGCAGACGAAGAAGAGGUUUUCUGUGGACAAUUGUCUCCCUUCAUGUGGGAGUCACGUGGUUCUGACGUCAGAAUUCAGUAUGAUCAGACUUCCGGUAAUGGCGGAUUUACUGCUUCGUACUCAGUGAAAGACAUUUAAAAUAUGAACUUUAGAUAAAUUAUCGAUUUGUGAAAAUAAAACUGUUACCCGUGUUGCUAAUGCUUACAUAAAAUAAAUAGCCUUUAUGUUUUUUUAAGUUUUCACGACAAAAGUGAUGCCCUGCGUACACCGCCUCAUCAAGUCAUUCAGCACCUUUCAUCUUCGAAUUCGCUACGUUUCAAUAGCCGUCAGAAAAAAAGUAUAUUCUUGAUAAUAAACUGUAGCUUUUCAUUCUUAAAAAGAAUACAUUCAAGCAAAGGUGAAUAAAGUGCUGAUACAAACGUACUUAUAUACUAAUGUGACUUUUCCUAGACAAAGUGUCUAUUAUGUUCUUCAGCAAUAAAAAAUAACAUUUUUUUACACCAAAACAUAUACAUAAUUGAUUAUUUUGAAUCAUCUAUGAAAGAGAGACCUUUUAAUCAAAUAUUUUGUUCACAAUGAUAUUUUGUUUUUGAUUAUUUUGUCUUGAAUUAUCAUAGUCUUUCUUGCCCUCAUCUGUCAUAUUGCCUUGAAAUGAAAUAAAAUUGUCAGCCAUAUCGA